AGCCAGACUCCUACGGGAGGCAGCAGUGGGGAAUAUUGCACAAUGGGGGAAACCCUGAUGCAGCGACGCCGCGUGAGUGAAGAAGUAUUUCGGUAUGUAAAGCUCUAUCAGCAGGGAAGAAGUUGACGGUACCUGAGUAAGAAGCCCCGGCUAGCUACGUGCCAGCAGCCGCGGUAAUACGUAGGGGGCAAGCGUUAUCCGGAUUUACUGGGUGUAAAGGGAGCGUAGACGGCAGUGCAAGUCUGAAGUGAAAGCCCCGGGCUUAACCCGGGAACUGCUUUGGAAACUGUACGGCUGGAGUGCUGGAGAGGUAAGCGGAAUUCCUAGUGUAGCGGUGAAAUGCGUAGAUAUUAGGAGGAACACCAGUGGCGAAGGCGGCUUACUGGACAGUAACUGACGUUGAGGCUCGAAAGCGUGGGGAGCAAACAGGAUUAGAUACCCGAGUA
rnacentral:rRNA from 1 species